UACGUAGGGUGCGAGCGUUAAUCGGAAUUACUGGGCGUAAAGCGUGCGCAGGCGGUUCGUUGUGUCCGAUGUGAAAGCCCCGAGCUUAACUUGGGAAUGGCAUUGGAAACUGGCGGGCUGGAGUGUGGCAGAGGGGGGUGGAAUUCCACGUGUAGCAGUGAAAUGCGUAGAGAUGUGGAGGAACACCGAUGGCGAAGGCAGCCCCCUGGGCUGACACUGACGCUCAGGCACGAAAGCGUGGGGAGCGAACGGG
rnacentral:rRNA from 1 species